rnacentral:lncRNA from 1 species
UCGACGACAAACCCCGCAAGCCGAGUAGUCUUGGAGUCCCUGAGUUUUGUGACGGCAUCUUUAACAUGGGGUUGCUGGCUUUCAACAAAACCGACCAAGCUAUUCCGGACACUGCCUUCCGUAUGGUCCAUAUUGAUAUUUGGGAGGUUGAUGAAGUUGAUACGCUGUGAUAUGGGAGAAGAAGAGUCUGCAAGUGACUGGACAUAAGCAUCGGUGCCUUUGGAAACAGCGGGAAAGUGCAUGAUGAGGACAGUGAUGAAGAGUUGGUCGUCUCUAGACACGAGAAGCUUUGCGAUCUCAAGUGUUGAGACUAGAUGGCCUAUACCUGGGGAUGGGAUGAGAACGAGCUCUGCAGGUUUCUCCAUUUUUGGGAGCUUGAGAUUAUUCUGAGCUAACUACAUGUUUCGGCAGUAGCUAGGUAGGUACUUAAAUAUCGGAUUUUCUUUCUUGACAAACAAUUAACAUAUGAAUGAUGUCAUUGCUUUGCUCAUUUGCUAAAUACCAGUUCUCUAGAUUAUGUCAUUGAAUACAAGUUAUAAAACGGAACACGAAGUUUGGCAAGUCAGUCUUAAAAUCAAAGAUUGCAGAAAAUGCUAUUCAAUUCCAUAUAAUUUGACUUGUCUUUAUUAUUUAUUUAUUUUUGGUCUAAGACUUAUCUUUGUGUUUUUUUGUGGUCUGAACUUAUCUUUGUUGAAGAGACUACGUGGCGGAUGGAGAUCCCUUGAAUACAUGAUAGCAUGAUUUUUCUAAUAAGGUAAAAUUAAUUAGAACAAACAAGAGUUAAUCGUUAUCGUUGUCGUUGUUUGAUUGAGCGCCUUGAUCUUCAUAUCAGAUUAUCUGGUCUUGAACAAUGUUUGCACCUUAAUUAAUUAGCAAUUAAAUCUUAAAUAUAGAUUAUGAUACCUGUAUCUAAAUUGAAAUAAUCAUCAAGUUAAAUAUUGUGAAAGAGAAAGAGAGAUUUGGAAAACAAAUGGAACGAGAAGGAACUGGUGAUUGGGAAAGAAUGAGAUUAGAAGAAGAAGAGGCUAGGAGGCGUACGUUUCCCAGAGAUCAAAGUAAUUAAGCUUUUCCUUCCUUGAGGGAUGUGGGUUGCAGUUGAUGAAAGACCAAGAGGAAAUGAAAUUGUUUUCAUGAGAUGCGUCGCAAAAUGGAAUUCUAGUUUUGACCCAUGCACUUGACAAAAACAAAUCCAAUAAAAUGAAAGACAAUUUCUUCAAAGACUUCAUUUCACCAAGCUUCUAUAUACAUAAGAAAAUAUCAAAAGAUUUCCAUAUAGAGCAUCUCGCUUACUAAACAUAGAGACUCAAUAAGCAAAAACACUAUAACAUGCACUUUCUCCAAAUAGAGAACUCCGUAUUCCUUUAUUCACCAUGCUAGCUCAUAUUUCAUAAUAAUAACAAAGCUUUCCGAUCGAUCCCGAAUGUGAUCAACAUAAGCUUUAAAUUUGAUCAAUGAAGUGUCCCAAUGAAGCAUAUGAGGAACCCCCAUCCAUCAAAGCUUUCUUGCUAUUAUCACUCACUUGUUUCACCCUUUUCCUUAUAUCACUAUCGAGGUCCAUCAGCUCCUUUAUUCCACUCUGAAUUUUCUCUGCAGUCACAACAAUUGGACCAUCCUUCCUAUAGCUCAUAUCAAUUUCCACGGCUAUCCCUAGUUCCCUCACUAGCUGGAAAGCAUUUUGUUGCUGCUCAGCAUACAAGGGCCAUGUGGCAACCGGCACUCCAAACCACAAGCUCUCCAGAGUUGAAUUCCACCCGCAAUGAGAGACGAAACCUCCAACUGCUGGAUGGGAUAAGAUGGCAACUUGCGGCGCCCAGCCUAUAACUUUUCCGACUCCCGCCGUCUGAUCAAGGAACCCUUCAGGUAACACCCCCGUGUGAUCGGCAUAGUCACUGGGAACGCCAAUCUUUCCCUUGGGUGGAGGCUGACGCAGUGACCACAGAAACCGAAACCCUCCCUGCUCCAAUGCGCGGGCUAUCUCUUUCACCUGGUCUUCACUGAAGCUUCCCAUGCUCCCGAAGCAUAGAAACACUACAGACGACGGAGGCUGAUCAUCGAGCCAUUUCAAGAUAUCAGACGUCUGCUUCGACUGCUUCGAAUCCACUUGGUCAUUGUUGUCAUCGCUCUUCACGUUGAGUAUAGGUCCCACCGGAUACACCGGAGGGAGCUUGCCAUCGGAACUGAGAGAAAGAAGGGCAUGCGACUCCAGCUCUGUCAUUGUAUUUAUGAGAAUACCCUUGACAUCUCUAAUCCUUUUGGCUAAGUUGAGAAAACCGUUUCCUCCCUCCUUUUCGAAAAGGAUACCGGGCAAGACUCUAGCAGGCAAUGGAUUGGCGUAACUCGGAAUUACCAAAUCAGCAGUGGAGUCGUUAAACUCAAGAUAGUCUUUGUUUUGGUCAUCACGAAGUGCUUGAAGGUGGAGCAAGACCCCUAGAGAGGCUGCGCUGGAAGUGAAGAACACGUAGGUAGGAACCCCCAAUUCGUUGGCUACAUCGAUCAUGGAUGUGCAAAACAUGUCGAUGACAAACCCGGCGAGUCGAGUCUCGGUCUUGGACUCGAUGAGUUUGGCGACAACAUCUUUAACAUUGGUUUUCUGAGUGCCACUGAAGUUCAAGAAGUUGAUGGUGCUAUUACCUUGUGUCUCGAUAUUCUGUUGUGGGAGGUUGAUGAACUUGAUCCGGUGUGAUAUGGAUGAGUCCGCGAAGGACUCAAUGUAGGCAUCAAUGGGGUCUGAGCUGAACGGAAACUUCAUGAUGAGGACAGUGAUUAAGAGUCGGUCAUCUCGAGACAGGAGGAGCUUUGCCAACUCCACCGUCGACACGAGGUGGCCAAUGCCUGGGGAUGGGAUGAACACUAUCUCUACCCAUUGCUUCAUUUUGGGAGAUUUAGACGGGGUGCGUAAGAGUUCUCUGAAGAAG